CCAAACAGAUCUGACCCGGUAGCCGCAUAUCAGCUGGCCGCCGCUGAAGCAAGAAGAGGACAACAAACCUAUGGAAAGCGUUAUCGCAAAUCUUUUCUGAAAGGGAAUAAAUUAGAAAAUCGCGGUUACAAAGAGAGGAAGUAGUCUUCAACAGCUAGCGAGAGCGCUAAAUGUACCAGAAGUAACGGACCUGGUUCUCAACAAGGUGGAGUUUUGUGAGCGAGGGCUACCCAUCGAUUGCGCUUUACGCUAUUCGGUUACCAGAUGCAGGAACCUGAUCGACAGGUUGCGCGAAGAUAAGAGCUGCCUUUUCUGGAAGUAUUAAACCCUUACACCAGAACAAACAAGCAAAGAAGAACAGUAAUUGUAUUUCCUAUAUGGAAUUAAAUGAAAGAGUUUUAAAGAAAUAUCCGAUUUUUUUUUUUACACACAAUUCGCAUUUAGAUAUGUCUUCUUUAACGAUGUGUGAAUGACUGCUGUAUAUGGAACGAACACAUCCUGUCAUUUGAAGUGAAGUUUGUGCGUAACAGGUCGCUGAGAACACAACAUUUACAUAGAAGAAGGACUGAUGAAAACGAACCGGGCACAGUAGAGGAAGAAGAAGGUAGUUAGUUUAAGCAAUAUGGCUGAAUUGUGGGGUAGGGGACACUGUCUGGAACUACUCAAAGAGUCUGGAUGCUGGUUAUAGAACAUGGCAACAUAUCCCUGGGCAUCGGUAGCCUCAGAAUAAUGCCUAAAGGUAAACAUAGUUACUAUCCGGACUCUCCCUCUAUCCGCAUAUCCAAGAUGGAUGUGAUCAUCCCGUUCUCCCCAGAUGUGCCCUGUGAUAGCAACGGGCAGCGCAUGUGGUGGGCUUUCCUUGCCUCCUCCAUGGUUACGUUCUUUGGGGGUCUCUUCAUCAUUCUGCUCUGGAGAUCUCUCAACUACCUGUGGACCGUCUGCUGCCACUGUAAUACCAAAAAAAAGAAUGUUCAUCGGGUCCAUCACCCUAUCUCCCAUGGGGAUGGCGUCAAGCAUACCAAGGAGACGGUGGCUGCACUCAGCGAGGUGGGCUGGAUGACCUCCGUCAAAGAUUGGGCCGGGGUCAUGAUAUCAGCCCAGACACUGACGGGCAGAGUCCUGGUGGUGCUUGUCUUUGCCCUCAGCAUCGGAGCCCUUGUAAUAUACUUCAUCGAUUCCUCUGACCCCAUCGAGUCCUGUCAGAACUUCUACAAAGACUUCACGCUACAGAUCGACAUGGCUUUCAACGUCUUCUUCCUCUUGUACUUUGGUCUACGGUUCAUAGCGGCCAAUGACAAGCUGUGGUUCUGGCUGGAGGUGAACUCGGUGGUGGACUUCUUCACUGUUCCCCCGGUGUUCGUGUCCGUCUAUCUCAACAGGAGCUGGCUUGGCUUACGGUUUUUAAGGGCCUUAAGAUUGAUACAGUUCUCAGAAAUCUUACAGUUUUUGAAUAUAUUAAAAACAAGCAAUUCCAUAAAACUGGUGAACUUGUGUUCAAUCUUCAUAAGCACAUGGCUAACAGCUGCAGGCUUCAUACAUUUGGUGGAAAACUCAGGGGAUCCUUGGGAAAACUUCCAAAAUUCCCAGUCACUUUCCUACUGGGAAUGUGUCUACUUACUGAUGGUUACCAUGUCCACUGUGGGCUAUGGAGACGUGUAUGCCAAAACUACCCUGGGACGACUUUUCAUGGUGUUCUUCAUCCUCGGUGGUUUGGCCAUGUUUGCGAGCUACGUCCCUGAAAUCAUAGAGUUAAUAGGAAACCGCAAGAAAUAUGGUGGUUCCUAUAGUGCUGUUAAUGGGAGAAAGCACAUCGUGGUCUGUGGUCAUAUUACCCUUGAAAGUGUGUCCAACUUCCUUAAAGACUUCCUACACAAGGACAGGGAUGAUGUCAAUGUAGAAAUUGUUUUUCUCCAUAAUAUUUCCCCUAAUCUUGAGCUGGAAGCCUUGUUCAAGCGGCACUUCACCCAGGUGGAGUUCUACCAGGGAUCUGUUCUCAACCCACACGACCUGGCCAGAGUCAAGAUAGAGUCAGCAGAUGCCUGUUUGAUCCUAGCUAAUAAAUACUGUGCAGACCCUGAUGCUGAGGAUGCUUCCAACAUCAUGAGGGUGAUAUCCAUCAAGAACUACCACCCGAAGAUCAGAAUCAUUACCCAGAUGUUGCAGUACCACAACAAGGCCCACCUUUUGAACAUUCCCAGUUGGAACUGGAAGGAGGGUGACGAUGCCAUUUGCCUUGCUGAGCUGAAGCUUGGCUUCAUCGCACAGAGUUGUCUGGCUCAGGGCCUCUCCACCAUGCUGGCCAACCUCUUCUCCAUGAGGUCCUUUAUCAAGAUUGAAGAGGACACGUGGCAGAAGUAUUAUCUGGAAGGAGUAGCCAAUGAAAUGUAUACUGAGUACCUGUCUAGUGCCUUUGUGGGCUUAUCCUUCCCCACCAUUUGUGAACUCUGCUAUGUGAAGCUAAAGCUGCUACUGAUCGCUAUCGAGUACAAGUCUGAUAUACGGGAAAGCAGCACUCUCAUCAACCCCGGGAACCAUGUGAAGAUGCAGGAAGGAACCUUGGGGUUCUUUAUCGCCAGCGAUGCCAAAGAAGUUAAGAGGGCACUUUUCUACUGCAAAGCUUGCCACGAUGACAUCACAGAUCCUAAAAGGAUAAAGAAAUGUGGAUGCAAACGAUUGAUCUAUUCCAAGGUGUCCGUCUACAAGAGAAUGAUGCUGGCAUGUUGUUUUGAUUGCGGCCGUUCAGAGCGUGACUGCUCUCGCAUGUCGGCCAAUGUGCAUCACCAUAGUAACGCGAAGGACACCCUUCAGCGGCGUGGCUUCCCUCUCUCUCCUGUCUCUCUUAAUGAUUGCUCGACCACUUUACGUGCCUUGGAAGAAGAGCAGCAGUCAGCUGUUUCGCCUAAAAAGAAACAAGGCAAUGGAAACACGAGGAACUCACCCAACGGUUCACCAAAAAUGAUGAGGAGUAAGGGAUCCACAGGGAUGUUCCACUGGUGCCAGUCCAAAGACAUCGAGAAGGUCAUCUUGACCCGGAGCGAAGCUGCCAUGACUGUUCUAAGCGGCCACGUGGUCGUCUGUAUAUUUGGAGACGCAAAGUCGGCUUUGGUGGGCCUUAGGAACCUUGUGAUGCCUCUGAGAGCUAGCAACUUCCACUACCACGAGCUGAAACCCAUCGUGUUUGUGGGUUCUCUGAGUACCUGAAGAGGGAAUGGGAGACCCUUCACAACUUCCCCAAAGUCUCCAUCUACCUGUGAGGCACACCAUUGAGCCGGGCCGAUCUGAGGGCCGUCAAUAUCAACCUCUGUGACAUGUGUGUCAUCCUGUCGGCCAAUCAGAGCAAUAUCGACGACGCUUCACUGCAGGACAAGGAAUGUAUCCUGGCGUCACUCAACAUCAAGUCUAUGCAGUUUGACGACAGCAUCGGGGUGUUGCAGGCUACCUCCCAAGGUUUUACCCUGCCAGGCAUGGACAGGUCCUCUCCUGAAAACAGUCCAGUUCAUGGGGGGUUGGUCCGACAGGCUUCCAUCACAACAGGAGCCAAUGUCCCCAUCAUCACUGAACUAGUGAAUGACUCCAAUGUUCAGUUCCUGGACCAGGAUGACGACGACGACCCUGACACAGAGUUGUACCUCACUCAGCCCUUCGCCUGUGGGACGGCUUUCGCAGUGAGCGUGCUGGAUUCCCUGAUGAGUGCUACAUACUUCAAUGAUAAUAUCCUCACCCUGAUCCGGACGCUGGUAACAGGGGGGGCCACCCCGGAGCUGGAGGGUCUGUUGGCGGAGGAGAACGCAUUACGAGGAGGCUACAGCACGCCGCAGACCCUCGCUAACCGGGACAGGUGUCGUGUUGCACAGUUAGCUUUGUACGACGGGCCUUUCGCUGACUUGGGGGAUGGUGGUUGCUACGGUGACUUGUUUUGUAAAGCGUUAAAAACAUACAACAUGCUUUGCUUCGGAAUUUACCGAUUGAGGGACGCCCAUCUAAACACACAAAGUCAUACAAGUCAAUGCACUAAACGAUAUGUAAUAACCAACCCACCGUAUGGUUUUGAGCUGGUGCCAUCAGACCUGAUCUUCUGCCUGAUGCAGUUUGACCACAACGCGGGUCAGUCCCAGGCCAGCCUCACCCAUAGCUCCCACUCCUCCCAUUCCUCCAGCAAAAAGAGCUCCUCCGUCCAUUCUAUCCCCGCCACCAACCGCACCAACCGCGCCAAGAGCAGGGACUCACGGGAUAAACAAAAAAAAGACAUGCUUCAUAGAUGAGCCUGAGAACGCAGCCUACCCCAGGAAGUCACACUCUAGUCACACAGCCAACCACCAGGUCAACCACCAGGUCAACCAGAACCCUUACAAAUCCACCAACAACCUCAUCCCGUCCAUCAGAGAGGUGGAGGACGAAUACUGAACUACAGAACCCAAUGUUGAAACCUACCGUACAACCCACCUGGAGAACACCUGGAACUAGAACCCAAGAACAGCUAGAACCCUCCUACAGAACACCUGGAACUAGAACCCCAAACCAGCUAGAACCCACCUACAGAACACCUGGAACUAGAACACAAGAACAGCUAGAACCCACUUACAGAACACCUGGAACUAGAACCCAAGAACAGCUAGAACCCAACUAGAGAACGCAUGGAACUAGAACACAAGAACAGCUAGAACCCACCUAGAGAAUGCAUGGAACUCCACCCUGAUCCAAGUGGAACUGGAAUCUGAAGAACAAUUUAAAGCUAGGAUCCUUAGUUGCUACAUCAAUUUAUGGACUUUAUAAAUGAAUGAUCAAAACGUCAAUGCUGCAUAAUAAACCUCAUGGAAAAGUGCGUAUGUACAGUAGCUACAGUAACAUCAUAUCAACAGGCUUCUUGACAUGUUUUAUACAGAUAAAUAUGUAAAUGAAGUAAUAGACAUAUAAUAUACAAUCAGAUGUCAAUCAGAUGUACAAGUCAGUCAGUCACUAAUGCUAACACUGUAGUUUACACAGCCAGUUCCAUAGUGACCAGACUCCAUCAGUUUAACCAUUUUGGAGAAUGAGGGUCGCUUCAGUCAGAGUAGCAAAGCAACGCAAUGCCAGAUAACAUAUGAUGAAACAUUAUAAUAGAGUGUUAUCAAACUGGACUGAUUAUUUGCCAAUAAAAACCAUAUAUACGUU